rnacentral:rRNA from 1 species
UGAACAUACCGUUCCAGACGGUGGUGUAAUACGUUGGGGACAGGAAUUUAUCUGAUUUGUUGGGCUGAAGGGGGGGUUAGUGGGGUGUGAAAGUUAAAUGUGAAAUUCCUAAUGUCAAUUUCGGAGCUGCAUUUAAGACUGCGGAUCUUGAGUAUUGGCGGAGAAAAUGGAAUUCCACGUGUAGCGGUGAAAUGCGUAGAUAUGUGGAAGAACACCGGUGGCGAAAGCGAUUUUCUAGCUUAUUCCUGACGCUGAGGCGCGAGAGCAAGGGGAGCAAACAGGAUUAAUACCCCGGUAGUC